rfam:Chloroflexi bacterium 44-23 SCNpilot_bf_inoc_scaffold_6881, whole genome shotgun sequence.
GAAGAAGCUACUAAGGGUUUACGGUGGAUGCCUUGGCGCCAAAUGCCGAUGAAGGACGUAGGUCACUGCGAAAAGCCUCGGGUAGCUGUGAACAAGCGCCGAUCCGGGGAUGUCCGAAUGGGGAAACCCACUGGAGCGAACCUCCAGUAUCGCAUAUUGAAAAAAUAGGUAUGCGAGGGGAACCUGGGGAACUGAAACAUCUAAGUACCCAGAGGAAAAGAAAAGAUUCCCAAAGUAGUGGCGAGCGAAAUGGGAGCAGCCCAAACCUUUACAGCUUGCUGUAGGGGGGUUGUAGGGCUCAGCGAGAACGGAGACAGAAGACUUGAGGUUAGUGGAAUGGUGUGGGAAAGCCAGCCAGAGAGGGUGAGAGCCCCGUACGCGAAAACCGAGAGACUCCAAGCUGAGAACCUGAGUACUACCGGGCACGCUAAUCCGGUAGGAAUCUAGGGAGUCCACUCUCUAAGGCUAAAUACAUUUGGUGACCGAUAGUGAACAAGUACCGUGAGGGAAAGGUGAAAAGUACCCCGGCGAGGGGAGUGAAAUAGAACCUGAAACCGUAAACUUACAAGCAGUCGGAGGGCUAAUGGCAGGUCGGUGCUCUGCAGAAAUGCAGGUGUGCGCUGCUAUGCCUGACGGCGUGCCUCUUGGAGAAUGAGCCUGCGAGUUAAUCAUUGUGGCGAGGUUAAGCGAGAAACACGUGGAGCCGUAGCGAAAGCGAGUCUGAAAAGGGCGGGAGUCGCAAGGAUUAGACCCGAAACCGGAUGAUCUAACCAUGGCCAGGGUGAAGCGAGAUUAAACCCUCGUGGAGGCCCGAACCUACUAACGUUGCAAAGUUAGGGGAUGAGCUGUGGUUAGCGGUGAUAUGCCAAACGAAUCCGGAGAUAGCUGGUUCUCCCCGAAAUAGCUUUAGGGCUAGCGCUACGAGUUCAGCAGCGGAGGUAGAGCACUGAAUGGGCUAGGGGGCUUAGAGCUUACCAAACCCAAUCAAACUCCGAAUGCCGCUGUUCCAGAUCGUAGUAGUCGGACUACGGGAGAUGAGUUUCGUGGUCGAAAGGGAAACAGCCCAGAUCAUCGGCUAAGGUCCCCAAGUUUAGACUAAGUGGGAAACGAUGUGGGGUUACUGGAACAACCAGGAGGUUGGCUUAGAAGCAGCCAUCCUUUAAAGAGUGCGUAAUAGCUCACUGGUCAAGUGAUCCUGCGCGGAAAAUUUAACGGGGCUAAGUCUAACACCGAAGCCAUGGGAUCGUACUUUGGUAUGAUCGGUAGGGGAGCGUUCUGUUUGCGGAGAAGGUCGACCGUAAGGACGGCUGGAGCGGACAGAAGUGAGAAUGCAGGCAUGAGUAGCGUAAAACACGUGAGAACCGUGUUCACCGUAAGUCUCAGGUUUCCGACGCCAGGUCAAUCCGCGUCGGGUUAGUCGGGGCCUUAGUCGAGGCCGGAAGGCGUAGGCGAUGGACAUCCGGUCAACAUUCCGGAACCACUAAGAGGGAGCGAUGAAGGGACGCAGCGAGGUAGGCCAGCCCACGAUUGGUAGUGUGGGUGUAUGAUACGUCAGACGAUGAGAGAGGUAGGGAAAACCGCCUUUUGAGUUGAGGUAUCGUAGCGAGUCUCAAAGGCAUAAGUGAGUUGAGCCUUGCUGCCGAGAAAAGCUUCUAAGCGAUGAACUUUUAGUGCCCGUACCGCAAACCGACACUGGUAGACGGGUAGAGAAUACCAAGGUGAACGGGAGAACCUUCGUUAAGGAAUUAGGCAAAAUAGCCCCGUAACUUCGGGAGAAGGGGUGCCCCUGAGCGUGACACGUGAGUGGUAGCGCAUGGGGGUCGCAGUGAAAUGGUUCUAGUGACUGGUUAACAAAACCACAGGUCUCUGCAAAGUCGAAAGACGAUGUAUAGGGGCUGACGCCUGCCCAGUGCCGGAAGGUUAAAGGGAGAGGUUAGCGCAAGCGAAGCUUUGAACUGAAGCCCCGGUGAACGGCGGCCGUAACUAUAACGGUCCUAAGGUAGCGAAAUUCCUUGUCGGGUAAGUUCCGACCCGCACGAACGGCGUAACAACUAGAGCACUGUCUCAACGAGGGACCCGGUGAAAUUGAAAUGGCUGUGAAGAUGCGGCCUACCCGCAGCAGGACAAAAAGACCCCGUGGAGCUUUACUGCAGCUUGGCAUUGAAUUUGGGCAUAAUUUGUGUAGGAUAGGUGGGAGGCAGAGAAACUAGGGCGCCAGCCUUGGUGGAGUCGUCAGUGAAAUACCACCCUGAUUAUGUUUAGAUUCUAACCCCAUACCGUAAACCGGAUGGGGGACCGUGCCAGGUGGGCAGUUUGACUGGGGCGGUCGCCUCCAAAAGAGUAACGGAGGCGCCCAAAGGUUCCCUCAGACUGAAUGGAAACCAGUCGAAGAGUGUAAAGGCAUAAGGGAGCUUGACUGCAAGACCAACGCGUCGAGCAGAGACGAAAGUCGGGCUUAGUGAUCCCACGGUACUGAGUGGAAGGGCCGUGGCUUACCGGAUAAAAGCUACCCCGGGGAUAACAGGCUGGUGAGGUCCAAGAGUUCACAUCGACGACCUCGCUCGGCACCUCGAUGUCGGCUCAUCACAUCCUGGGGCUGGACAAGGUCCCAAGGGUCGGGCUGUUCGCCCGUUAAAGUGGUACGCGAGCUGGGUUCAGACCGUCGUGAGACAGGUCGGUCUCUAUCCGCUGUGGGCGCAAGGAGUUUGCGAGGAGCUGUCCCUAGUACGAGAGGACCGGGAUGGACAGACCUCUGGUGUGUCAGUUGUCGUGCCAACGGCAUUGCUGAGUAGCUAUGUCUGGCAGGGAUAACCGCUGAAAGCAUCUAAGCGGGAAGCUCGCCUCAAGAUAAGACUCCUGUAAUCCUGAAAGGGAGUAAGAUCGCAGGAAGACUACCUGCUUGAUAGGCGACGUGUGUAAGUGCAGUAAUGCAUUGAGCUAAGUCGUACUAAUGAUCGAGGGCUUCAGGUA